rnacentral:lncRNA from 1 species
AAUUUUCUAUAAAGAUUUGAGCAUUAUACCAAUUUAUUACAUCCAAGUCAUUAAUAAUUCUGUAUAGUUGUAUCACAUCACCUCUUGAUCUUCUAAUUUUUAAUGUGGAGAGAAAGGUUUAUCAAGAUUGUUUGUGAUGGUCAAUUUGCCACCACAUAAAAGUAGCAAAUAAUAAUGAAGCUAUGGCAAUAAACAUGUUGAAACAAAAUGCCAAAUCUCAAGUUAAAUGGUUCAUCUAAAUCUGAAUCUGCUGUAAAGUAAAUUAAAUAUUCAAUCAUAAAUUGUCAAAUCUCAAGACAUGAAAUUGUUAAUGGAGUUUUGGUCCAUAAUAAUCCAAUUCACAAAGUUAUAAAAAGAUCCUUUACUCAAGUCUAUGAAACUAUGGUUUGAUGUUAAUGGAUUAAACUUUUUCGUCGAUAAUAAAAACAAUUGUUAUUGUAACAUGAUAACCAUGUUGUUUAUAUGAU